rnacentral:rRNA from 1 species
CUUCCUGUUAAAUGUGGGCCUUGACCCUUUGCGUUUACGAAAGAAUGCUCAUAUCGAGACCUCAGGUCAGGCGGGGUUACCCGCURAGUUUAAGCAUAUCAAUA